GGAAGUAAAAGCGUAACAAGGUUUCCGUAGGUGAACCUGCGGAAGGAUCAUUAUUGGAUUUUGAAACUUCAGGCUGCUGCUGGCUCUCCUCGGAGGGCAUGUGCACGCUUGUUGUCCAUUAUUUCUCCCACUGUGCACAAAUUGUAGACCUUUCAGUAGGCCUAUGUUGUUUUUCACAAUCUCUGAAUGUAAUAGAAUGGUUUUGAAUCUUGGGAAAUACAAUACAACUUUCAGCAACGGAUCUCUUGGCUCUC
rnacentral:misc_RNA from 1 species